AGUGAACGCUGGCGGCGUGCUUAACACAUGCAAGUCGAACGGGCAAGAGCCGUAGCAAUACGGAGUUCUGCUAGUGGCAAACGGGCGAGUAAUACAUGGGAAUCUACCUUGGAGUCUGGGAUAACAGUUGGAAACGACUGCUAAUACCGGAUAUAACCGAGAGGUAAAAGAUUUAUCGCUCUAAGAUGAGCCCAUGGAGGAUUAGCUAGUUGGUAGGGUAAAGGCCUACCAAGGCGACGAUCCUUAGCUGGUCUGAGAGGAUGAUCAGCCACACUGGAACUGAGACACGGUCCAGACUCCUACGGGAGGCAGCAGUGGGGAAUAUUGGACAAUGGGCGAAAGCCUGAUCCAGCGACGCCGCGUGGGUGAUGAAGGCCUUCUGGUUGUAAAGCCCUUUCAGUGGGAAAGAUAAUGACGGUACCCACAGAAGAAGCUCCGGCAAACUUCGUGCCAGCCGCCGCCGUAA
rnacentral:rRNA from 1 species